CGCGGGGCUGGGCUCUGGGCUGCGUCCGGGGGCCCCGACUUGGUUAUUGAUCGGCCCAAGCGCAGGAGAACUGACUCUAUAAUGCAUCGCCUGACCAGGAAAAGUGUUUGCUUUUGUGGGAGCAAAAGACAACUUUCUGCCCCGCCAGAGCGUUGCUAAGUGAGCGGUAAUGACCACGCUAGAAAUUUCAUAGGGAGAGGCUAAUGGCAGGCUGACUCUAAAAGUGCUUUUAAGUGCAACUUCUGUCUAAUCCCUUGAGGGGGAAGAAAACAUCGGCGACUAAGAAAGUUCAAGUUGUACAGGACCCGGGUUUUUGGGGUCGGGGUCACUUCUGCUCUGCGUGACUUUGAAGAGGAAGACCUGCGGUUUUUUCCAGUGGAUUUUCACACGUGUUUUAAAGAGAACUCCCGGCUCCUGAAAUGAAAGGCCCGCCUGUAGGGUUUUGCUGCCUCCCCUCUGCCCACGCCCCACCCCCACAGCCUGGAUCAAAGCGAUCAGACAAAUUAUUCAGAAGUAACACAGCCCUGAAAUGUUCCUAAACGUGACUAUUUGAGGCGAUGAAUCAAGCGUGUUCCCUCCGCCCCCAACCCACCCCCAGACCGAAAAUGUGACUCUGGAAACGGACUUGCAGAGCUGGCUUCGGUUUAUAUGCGGUUCUGACCCCUGUUGACUUUAGGACAAGCCUUCCUGUUUCCAGUACUGCAGCAUCGCCAGACAGCCUCGCCAUGCAAUCGGCUUUCCAGAUACGAUUUCACUCCUCACCAAAGACACUUCUUUAGGGCGAUUUUAGGAUUCUAUCAACGCUAGUAAAGGAACUACUUAAACACGUUGAUUUGUA
rnacentral:lncRNA from 1 species